rnacentral:rRNA from 1 species
GAUGAACGCUGGCGGCGUGCUUAACACAUGCAAGUCGAACGAUGAAGCCCAGCUUGCUGGGUGGAUUAGUGGCGAACGGGUGAGUAACACGUGAGUAACCUGCCCCCGACUCUGGGAUAAGCCCGGGAAACUGGGUCUAAUACCGGAUAUGACCAUGGAACGCAUGUUUUGUGGUGGAAAGAUUUAUCGGUGGGGGAUGGACUCGCGG